UUUCCGUAGGUGAACCUGCGGAAGGAUCAUUCAUAAUAAAGUGUUUUAUGGCACUUUUUAAAAAUCCAUAUCCACCUUGUGUGCAAUGUUAGAUCUCGUCAAUCUUGGCGAGAUUUUUAUACAUCAACUCAUUUUUUAACUAAUUUGUCUGAAAAAUAUUAUGAAUACUUAAUUCAAAACACAACUUUCAACAACGGAUCUCUUGGCUCUC
rnacentral:misc_RNA from 1 species